rnacentral:misc_RNA from 1 species
GCAAACUUGGUCAUUUAGAGGAAGUAAAAGUCGUAACAAGGUCAUCGUAGGUGAACCUGCGGUGGGAUCAUCAAUAAUCUAACAAACAACCACUUAAGGUGUGAAUUUGUGCUUGAUUUUUAAGACGAGUGCGUUUCCCUAGGGGAGCGUCUUUUCUGAUAAAUUUCUAUCUGCUUGGUCAGUUUUGGCCAGGCAGAUGGGGAUAAAACCUGCACUUUACAGUGUAUUUUAUGGCCAACCUUUAAAUUCCUCAAUAGGACUGAAGCCCAUUUUUAUGAGCAUCGGACCUCUGGAAAAAUCUGUAAUUCUCUAUCUAGCUGUAAUGGCAAGAUAAAUAAUUCAUACAAAACUAUUAAUGGUGGAUCACUUGGCUCUCGCAUCGAUGAAGAACGCAGC